CGGAGGACUAGCGUUGUUCGGAAUUACUGGCGUAAGCGCGCGUAGGCGGAUUUGCAAGUCGGGUGAAGCCCGAGGCUCAACCUCGGAACUGCCCUCGAUACUGCAAAUCUCGAGUCCGAGAGAGGUGAGUGGAAUUCCUAGUGUAGAGGUGAAAUUCGUAGAUAUUAGGAAGAACACCAGUGGCGAAGGCGGCUCACUGGCUCGGUACUGACGCUGAGGCGCGAAAGCGUGGGAGCAAACAGGAUU
rnacentral:rRNA from 1 species